rnacentral:rRNA from 1 species
AAGCGGUGGAGCAUGUGUUAAUUCGAAGCAACGCGAAGACCUUACCAGGUCUUGACAUCCCUGACAACCAAGAGAUUUCGGGCGGUUCCCCCUUCGGGGGGACAGGGUGACAGGUGGUGCAUGGUUGUAGUCAGCUCGUGUCGUGAGAUGUUGGGUUAAGUCCCGCAACGAGCGCAACCCUCGCCUCUAGUUGCCAGCAUUCGGUUGAGCACUCUAGAGGGACUGCCGGCGACAAGUCGGAGGAAGUGGGAUGACGUCAAAUCAUCAUGCCCCUUAUGACCUGGGCUACACACGUGCUACAAUGGGCGGUACAAAGGGCUGCGAACCCGCGAGGGGGAGCGAAUCCCAAAAAGCCGCUCUCAGUUCGGAUUGCAGGCUGCAACUCGCCUGCAUGAAGCCGGAAUCGCUAGUAAUCGCGGAUCAGCAUGCCGCGGUCGAAUACGUUCCCGGGCCUU